rnacentral:rRNA from 1 species
AUUGAACGCUGGCGGCAGGCUAACACAUGCAAGUCGAGCGGCAGCGACUUAACUGAACUUCGGGGAACGUUAAGGGCGGCGAGCGGCGGACGGGUGAGUAAUGCCUGGGAAAUAUGCCCUGAUGUGGGGGAUAACUAUUGGAAACGAUAGCUAAUACCGCAUAAUCUCUUCGGAGCAAAGAGGGGGACCUUCGGGCCUCUCGCGUCAGGAUUAGCCCAGGUGGGAUUAGCUUGUUGGUGAGGUAAUGGCUCACCAAGGCAACGAUCCCUAGCUGGUCUGAGAGGAUGAUCAGCCACACUGGAACUGAGACACGGUCCAGACUCCUACGGGAGGCAGCAGUGGGGAAUAUUGCACAAUGGGGGAAACCCUGAUGCAGCCAUGCCGCGUGUGUGAAGAAGGCCUUCGGGUUGUAAAGCACUUUCAGUAGGGAGGAAGGUAGUGUAGUUAACACCUGCAUUAUUUGACGUUACCUACAGAAGAAGCACCGGCUAACUCCGUGCCAGCAGCCGCGGUAAUACGGAGGGUGCGAGCGUUAAUCGGAAUUACUGGGCGUAAAGCGCAUGCAGGCGGCCUGUUAAGUCAGAUGUGAAAGCCCGGGGCUUAACCUCGGAAUUGCAUUUGAAACUGGCAGGCUAGAGUCUUGUAGAGGGGGGUAGAAUUUCAGGUGUAGCGGUGAAAUGCGUAGAGAUCUGAAGGAAUACCAGUGGCGAAGGCGGCCCCCUGGACAAAGACUGACGGUCAGAUGCGAAAGCGUGGGGAGCAAACAGG